rnacentral:rRNA from 1 species
UACGGAGGGGGCGAGCGUUAUUCGGAAUUAUUGGGCGUAAAGGGCGCGUAGGCGGCUAGACAAGUCAAAGGUGAAAUCCCUCGGCUCAACUGAGGAACUGCCUUUGAAACUGUCUGGCUUGAGGCCGGGAGGGGGUAGCGGAAUUCCCAGUGUAGCGGUGAAAUGCGUAGAUAUUGGGAGGAACACCAGUGGCGAAGGCGGCUACCUGGACCGGUAUUGACGCUGAUGCGCGAAAGCGUGGGUAGCAAACAGG